GUGCGCGUGCGUGCCUGUCAGCCUGCCUGCCUGCCUGCCCGCGUGUGUAUGUGUGUGUGAGUGCGUGGGGUGGAGAAUAUCAAAGUGACAGUGAAGCCAGUGGCACGGGUGAAGCUCCACUGUGGCUCUCCCUCUCCAAGGAGAAGAAGAGAAAGGAAAGUUCUGCAGUCUGUUGUCGAAGUCCCUCUGGCAGAUUGCUUGGCCACACAAUGCAAAAGGAUGCCAGCGCUGGAGAGAGCCAGACUGAGAGUGACACUUUGACAAUUUGCUGACCUACCCUGGAUUGCAUGCCAG